UGAAACGCCACGUGGAAAGCUGUCCACCACUUUACGGGACUGUGACACUAGCAAGAAACAAAUCCUUAUGAUGUCAGGUCAUUGGAAUUUGGAGAUUGUGACAGCAGCUGGCAUGAAAUAGCAGGUGCCUCCUGGGUCCACUGUUCUCAGCCCUUGGCAUGCCAUAUCUUAUUUAGUCAUCUCCCUACAGGAGGGAGGUUCUGUUAUUAUCCACAUUUUACAGAUGAGAAAACUGAGGCACAGAAUGGAAACUGAGACACAGAUAGGAAGAGGCUGAAAGGGGUUCCGAACCAGGUCAGUCUGGCUCCAGAGCUUCCCUGAGGCUAAAAACCAAGGGAUUUGUGAGGGAAGCUCUUGUAGUAGCCCAGAAUGGAGACAGUGGCCAGACUGGGGAGGAACCCAAAGGGGCCGGGAAAGGAAGGUCCCAUGACAAAAGCAAAGCCCUGCCUGCUUUGCAGCCCACAGAGAAAAUCCCUGGUUUGCUCUUGUUUCCUGGUAUGAAACCCCUUUUUGCCAUGCUGCUCUAAUAGUAAGGGAGAGAAUGGCUGAUUCUCUAGGGUUCUGGACACCCCGCAGGUGGGUGUGCCCCCACCUAGCACAGCAGGACACCACCUCCUUCUCCCACUUCUAAGCUCUCCAGACCUGUCAUGCUAAAAGCCACACGGCACGGGCCCAGGGCAGAUAUGCCUAGAGAAACAUAAACUCUUCAGAGCCCAUCCUUGCUCGUUACCUCAUCGAUCCUCCCAAAGAUGCUGUGGAGAUGUCUUGUCCACCAUAAUUUGCAGAGAAAGAGACAGGAAGUUAUGGGACCUGUCACCUGGGGGACAGCGGCCAGAGCUGGGAUUUGACACAGGGCCGAAGACUCCCAGCCCGAGGCUCAUGCACUGCACCACCACCACCUCUGGCCGGAGCCCUGAGUCUGCGGGCUCUUCCUGCCUCUCAGUCUGUCGCCUGUCAGCCUCCCUGGGAGUGAAGCCUCAAGAAGAGUGGUAGACAGGGAGCCAGGAGGCCCCAGCUGCCUGGGCGCAGGCAGAGAAGCAGCCCUGGGACCCCCGCAGAGCUUCCUGCAUGUGGCCCAGAAAACCCCUGAAUCAGACCUCUCAGGAGUUGUGUUGAAAAUCCACAUUCCAAGGCCCCGCCCUCGACCUAUGGACCAGAGUCUCUGAGCAGUGCAAACUGGGAAUCUGCAUUUUAACUAGCACUGCUAAUAAGGAUUCUUCUAGUGAAAGUGUGAGCAGGACCAGACUAAUAAGGUUUUCUGGCUCCACGUCUUCCAGGAACCUGUGGGGCUUUCUCCAAGAGGCAGCCAGGCCUCUGGACAGGGUCUCCUCCUUUCCUAGAGCUUUGGGAAUGAGCCAGGGUGGGGUGCUGGGCAGGGAGGACCAGGGUCUCAUAGGGUGAGCGCCCCGAGUGCACCACACAGGAGAGAGCAGACAGAGGCAGGAAAGGCGAUGACAGGCAAGAGUGUAAGGAGAGACCGGGAAAGUGACCAGAGACCAAGCUGGAGACAGAGGCAGGGAGACUCCGGGAGAGGCAGCCAGGCAGGCUGAGAAAGCAGGGCAGAGAGGGGCAAGCGAGCAUGAGAGGGAGGCGGGAAAACAGACGGGGACGAGGCCCCACCAGUUGCUCCUAUCUGCCAGGUCUUCCAGCAGCCCCGGAGAGUGAGGGGCAGGCUGGGCCACGUAGCAGCCCACCUCCUCACAUGCCAGCCACCCCUGCCCAGCUGCCAGGCUCUCAGGGCUGUGCCAAGUGCAUGUCUCCAUGACAAUGCCAGGCAAGGCUCCCCUGAGGCACACGCAUGGUGGCAUAGAGGGCAUGGAGUGAGCCUUUACCAACAGCGGGCAAGGCCAAAGGUUCUCAGUUCACUACAAAGUGUGGGGGCUGGGGAGGGGGUGGGAAGCAGGGGCAAAGAGGCUGGAGGGGCCUGGGGUGGGGUCAGGGACUUUCUAGGAACAUGGCAAUCACAAGUAGAAAGGGAAAGGGAAGGCAAAUGGAAUUUUGUAGGUACAGCUUUCAUGUAUCAGGUACCUUGUUUGCAUUUUCUUGCUUGAUCCUCUCAAGACCUCUGUGGCAUAAAGAUCCUUGUCCCCUUUUUACAGAUAAGGAAACUGAGGCUGAGAGAUUACAGACUCCACACAUUUAGCUGGUAAGAGGCAGAGCUGAGGUUUCUACUCAGCCUCAGGUGUGUCCAAAUAGAAAUGCCAGUUUCCUUUCACUGCACUAAACUUUCUAAGCUCAUGAGAAAACAGGACACAAGAUGUUUUGAAGCAGUGCAAUCUCGCAGACCAGAGCUGUCAUGAGACAGUUGUGACUGAUCACAGUCAGGGAAGUUCAGACAUAGCACAAGCAGUAUACUGGAAUGGCUUUGUAGUGUAGAGGGAGUUAUCUCUUUAUUUAUUAAUCAUUCUUUACCUUAGCAUCUUCUAAGACAUACUAUGGAAGCUACAAUAAGAUUACAUAUACAAUAAAGCUAUCAUAGUGGUAAACAAGAAUAAUAUAGAUGGGAGAAAGGAUUUCUUAAAAAAAAAAUCUCAAACUAAUACUGUGGCUAUGAUUAACCAUUAAAUCGAACACUGAGCUCCCUAGCAGUCUCAGCAAAAAAGGAAAAUGCAACAAGUUAUGUGGCUCCAAUCCAAAAUGAAAUGUACUGACUUACCAAGGCAGAUAUUUCUUUUCCAUUGCUAAGUCCUAGAAAUCAGUGACAAGACUUCUGGAAGGAUAAAAUAUCACAAACACUUAUCCCAUUUUAUUUGUAGCUACAUACAUGCACACACACAUAAAACAAUAUGUAUAUGUGUGUGUACAUUAAUAAAUAUGUGUAUAGAUAUCCAACCACAAAAGAAAGAGAAUCCCUGAAAGCUGGAGAAAUCAAACCCAGAGUGAGGAGAACUGGCUUCAUAGUUCAUGGGUUUCAGACCCAGAAAUGGAACUGGAGAUGAGAGCUCCAAUGUCCAUAUGGGCACAAGUCCAUGUGUGGCUGGGAACCUGGAAUGGAACCCCCUGCAUAAAGCCUGGAUUUUGAAGAGCUUCUCCAUCAGUAAAAACAGGACAAGAAAAGCUACACUCACUAGGAAGUGGUAAAGCAAGAGGGCUGCCCACCUGAGCCGUAGGAUGGGGAAAAGGCACUGGGGCCAGAAUGUGUGGGAUCCAGAUUUACACUCCCUUUCCAGAACAACCAGAGGCCUUCAGCAACUAUAGAAGCAGCAAUGAAACUGCACCGAAGGAUAUUUUUUAAACCAGGACACAUCAGACACACCCCAGAGAAACCCACAAAGAUGAGCUCACAAUCUGAAAUCACAAACCACUAAAAAAUCAGAUCCAUGAGAGUCCUCAGAGGAGAAAACACAGGAGAACUUGGACGAAUGGAAUGGGCUAAGCAAGACAACAAAACAACCAUGUUCAAUGUACAUCACCAACACAAUGGAGGCCAGGCAUGGUGGCUCACACCUGUAAUCCUGGCACUUUGGGAGGUCAAGGUGGGCAGAUCACUUGAGGUCAGGAGUUUGAGACCAGCCUGGCCAACAUGGUGAAACCCCAUCUCUACCAAAAAUACAAAAAUUAGCUGGGCAUGGUGGCAUGCACCUUUACAGGUGCUCCCAGCUACUCGAGGGGCUGAGGCAAGAGAAUUGCUUGAACCAGAAAGGUGGAGGUUGCAGUGUGCUGAGAUCCCACCGCUGCUCUCCAGCCUGGGUGACAGGGUGAAACCCUGCCACACACACACACACACACACACACACACACAAAACACAAUGGAAAGCAUCUUUAACAACUUUUCUGUUUAUUUUCAUCAGCCACAGUAGAGAGAAUUGUUAGGUAAUAAUAAUUCUUCUUGUAGCUAGUUUCUGAGACAACCAUCAAUGGCAGAUUAAAAUAGACACUACAGUCAACCUUGCUCUGGAUGUUGAUGUGUGAGUAGCAAAGCUAAUGUGCCGCUCCAGUGCAGCCUUGUGAUGUCCUACUUGGAAAUAAGGGUUAGAACUUGAAAUUCAGACAGAGCAGCAGAGUCCUAUGGGCUGUCUUUACUGAUAAACAUGGUCAAACCCUGGUGAGAACCUGAGUCCUACUUCUCCUUAAGAAAGGGAACAGGUAUAGGUGCUCAGAAUUUUCCAGGUGUUUGGUUCACUGCAUACUCAGCCACAUUUACAAAUAGUAAUUAACUGAAUCCUCAUCGUAUCCCUACAAGGAAGGUGCUAUUACUUCCCCAUUUUUACUGAUAAGGAAACUGAGGCACGACCAGGUUACAUGACUGGGCCAAGAUAUCACAGCUUGUAAGUGACAGAGCCAAGCAAAAACCCCAAGCAGUCUACACCCAGCGUGCCUAUUAGUGACUACACUGUACUGUUGUUUUGUAGGUCUUUUUUUUUUUUUUUUUUUUGAGACAAAGCCUUGCCCUGUAUCUCAGGCUGGAGGGCAAUGGCGUGAUCUUGGCCCACUGCAACCUCUGCCUCCCAGGUUCAAGUGAUUCUCCUGCCUCAGCCUCACAAGUAGCUGGGAUUACAGACACGCACCAACACACCCAGCUAAUUUUUUUUUUUUUUAGUAUUUUUAGUAGAGAUGGGGUUUCACCAUGUUGGCCAGUCUGGUCUCAAACUCCUGACCUCAAGAAAUCCACUCGCUUUGGCCUCCCAAAGUGCUGGGAUUACAGGUGUAAGCCACCACGCCUGGCCUGGUCUUAAUUUUUGAAUUCUCUCAACGACCUGGUGAGAUAGGCAUUGUACCCACUUAACUAGUUGUCUCUAGCUUCCUGUGCCAGAGAGAAAUCUUGCUUCCAUUUCCCCUUAUCCCACCUCCUCACACAUCUCUAGUCUUCCACCAGGUCGAUAAAUGGCCAUUCAUCCUGUUGCUCAGCCGAAAAACUCAUGAUCACCCCUGAUGCCUCUCUGUCCUUCACACCCCUACUUAAUCCAUCAGCAAAUCCUAUCAGCUCUUAUUUGCACCCCAAACAGACACUGGAUCAGAGAUCUUCUUACCACCUCCUUCUUACCUUUUUCAAUUUAAGUACAAGCCACCAACUUCUUACCGUGGACAACCCCUACUUUACAUCCCACCAUGACAGUCAGUCCCUCCUCAUGCAGCCUGAAGGGGCCUGCUACAAUGCAACCCACAAACAGCCACCAUUAUCCCUCCCCUGCAUUUCCUUCCCACACUUUCGUGUGAUUCAUUGCAUCUUCAUGAGACCACAAGUAGGUAACUAACCCCGUAAUGUGUCCAUCAUGAACACCUCUCCAAUACCAUGUAUGUUAUUCUGACAACAGUAUUUUUGAUAAAUGCCUGAUGUUCCAUUGCAUUGACAUCCUAUCCCUUGCUUAUCUAAUCCCCUGUUACUGGGCAUUUUCUUUAUUUCCAGUUUUUGCUAUUGUAAAUAUAGAUACAGUGAACAUCUUUGGGGCUAAAUCUUUG
rnacentral:lncRNA from 1 species